rfam:Apaloderma vittatum contig13122, whole genome shotgun sequence.
AACCAGUUAGCUCAGUCGGUUAGAGCGUGGUGCUAAUAACACCAAGGUCACGGGUUCGAUCCGUGUAUGGGCCA